CAGUCGCCGCGGGAAUACGGAGGAUCCAAGCGUUAUCCGGAAUCAUUGGGUUUAAAGGGUCCGUAGGCGGUCUUGUAAGUCAGUGGUAAAAGCCCAUCGCUCAACGGUGGAACGGCCAUUGAUACUGCAGGACUUGAAUUAUUGGGAAGUAACUAGAAUAUGUAGUGUAGCGGUGAAAUGCUUAGAGAUUACAUGGAAUACCAAUUGCGAAGGCAGGUUACUACCAAUUGAUUGACGCUGAUGGACGAAAGCGUGGGUAGCGAACAGGAUUAGAUACCCCAGUAGUCCCUGUCUCUUAUAC
rnacentral:rRNA from 1 species